ACGCGUGGGUAACCUGCCUCAUACAGGGGGAUAACAGUUAGAAAUGACUGCUAAUACCGCAUAAGCGCACAGUGCUGCAUGGCACAGUGUGAAAAACUCCGGUGGUAUGAGAUGGACCCGCGUCUGAUUAGCUAGUUGGUGGGGUAACGGCCUACCAAGGCGACGAUCAGUAGCCGGCUUGAGAGAGUGAACGGCCACAUUGGGACUGAGACACGGUCCAGACUCCUACGGGAGGCAGCAUG
rnacentral:rRNA from 1 species